rnacentral:lncRNA from 1 species
AGUGGCCCGUGGCGGGGCCGGGAGGGGGAGCCGGGUGCAUGCUAGAGGAGUGGCAGUGGGGCUUGUCAGAAGCACCAGCACCAGAAAGCAAACUAAGCCAGCAACCAAUAGCAGGCAAUAGUUUGCAAUGUUUGGGGAUCUAUGGCACCACACUGGCAAACAACUCCAAAGAGUGACCUCUAUUUUUGUGAUAGUACCACCUUCAAAAGAAGCUUGACAUGGCUCCAGAGAAAUGCUCUCAGGAUGUAACUGGUGGUACUGAACUUGAUGCUUGCAUCUGUUAAAAGAUCAACUAAAAGCCCACUUGGAAGCUGUUGUCACUUUAUGCGAGGACUGGGCGGCACCGGAGCCACCGGAAGGCGGCGUGCAGGACCGCUUGGGCAAACUGUCG